rnacentral:rRNA from 1 species
CCCUUAGAUGUCCUGGGCCGCACGCGCGCUACACUGAUGCAUGCAACGAGUUUAUAACCUUGGCCUGAAAGGUCUGGGUAAUCUUUUGAACGUGCAUCGUGAUAGGGAUAGAUUAUUGCAAUUGUUAAUCUUGAACGAGGAAUUCCUAGUAAACGCGAGUCAUCAGCUCACAUUGAUUACGUCCCUGCCCUUUGUACACACCGCCCGUCGCACCUACCGAUUGAAUGGUUCGGUGAAGAUCUCGGACUUCGAUAUUUAUUCUUUAUUGAGUUUAUAUUGUGGGAAGUUAUCUAAACCUCAUCAUUUAGAGGAAGGUGAAGUCGUAACA